UGGAUUUUCAUCUGCAGAAGUUGCAGAGAAAUUUUCAACAUGCUCCCUUUAUGUGAGGUGAACCAUGCAUAAUGUGUGCAGCAGCAACAUUAUCAAUCGUUGGUACAUCUGUUGGUCAUACUGAAAUAAUACUAAACUUUCAUCAAAUUUAUUAAUUCAAAUAUGAUUAGAUGACUCUUAGCCAUUUUUAGGUGUAGAGGAAGCAUAUUAUGGCUGUGCAAAUGAUAAAUUUGGAGGCUGUGGAUCAAUAGUCAUUGCAUUUAAGUACCUCUGAGGCAUGCAUUAGGUCAGUUUCGGAACUUGCUUUUGUUGCUGAUUUCAUAUCUACUUAGCCCCCAUUUGAAAUUGUGACGUCUAUCUAUUGACAAGUAUAGCUUACUAGAGGUUUAUAUGACUCCUUAUGUUGAUUAAUGAUGGAUAUGGUUUCAUAGUAAUUCUGUUUGUUGCCACACUUUUAAUAUUGUGAUACAUAACCAUGAAAUGAAAUGGAGGUUUAUGGAACUAAGUUUCCACCUUUUUUGUUCUUUUCCAAGUCUCAAUCUAAGAAACUCGAGUUUCCAGAAGUGUCAAGAAGUUAAGUUAAUAUUAUAUCUUUCUUUCCCUUCUUUGUUUCCUUUUAUUUUUUAAAUCAAUGUGACUUGUUAGACAUUUCCUUUUUUUUUUUUUUUUUUGCCCUUAAAAAUUUACUUUUCUAGGAAAUACUACAAGUUAAGUUAAGGUAACCUUAGUUUUUUCUUUCCCUUUCCCAUUCCCCUCUGAUCUUCAUUUCUUCUUCCUUGUGUUUUUUCACUCUAGCGAGAUUCUUUGAUGUCUUUAUUGUUUUUAAAACGGUAAAUAUAACAUCUUCAAAGAAUUAUGAUUUUUUAACUAUGAGGAAUUUAUGCUUUCUGAUAUGCCAUGGGCAAUGUACUCAAUAAAGAAAUCUCUUUUCUUGUUUAUUAGUUGCAAUCGUCUCCUCUUGCAUACGUGAGGGCAUGUGCUUGUUAAAUUGUGGUGUAUGGCAUGUGUUUCCAGUAUUUAGCAAGCUUAGCUUCUUCAAAGAAAUAUGAUAUUUUAACUGAGGAAUUUCUGAUAUGCCAUGGGCAAUGUACUCAAUAAAGAAAUCUCUUUUCUUGUUUAUUACUUGCAAUUGUCUCUUCUUGCAUACAUGAGGGCAUGUGCUUCCUAAAUUGUGGUGUAUGGCUUUGUUUCCAGUAUGAUUUUUCAUUUGUCUAAUGUUGCCAUGAUUUGACAAUUCAUGUUUCCUAACCUCGUUCAGAAGUCAUUAAUUUUUUACUCAAGACUUUGUUGACAUAAAAGUUUAAAACUUAGUGAAAUAGAAUCUGCUUCAUUGUGAUUGGAGCAGCGCAUAGAGUAGCUAAUCUAGAUUACAGACGAUGUCUUUCUGUUGAAUUAUUAGUUUUAAAAGAAGAAGCUCAAGUAUGCUGCUCUUAAUAAUCUGAUUACAAGUGAAAAGUAUUGUGGGAAACAUGGAAGUAGUUCAUUGCCUUUCUGAAUACGACAUCAAGCAAGAGGAUGCUCCUUGCAGAUAAAGGACCACCUUGUGAAUCUCAAAAACUAGCCCUAAUUAUUGCAUAUUUUCAUGAUAGAGAGAAUGAGACUGUUGUUAAUAGGGAGCAUGGUUCGUAUGCGAUGUUUGGAAGAUUGAGCUAAUUGAAACCCAUUGUAGCCAGUAUUAGUAUACAAGUAAUCCAUAAAUCUUCUCUCAAUCAGAUCACCAAUGCCAAUAACUCCAUGAGAGAACUUGUCCAUCUGUAUUAAAAGCCUCAAAGUAUGCCAUGUUUAUAGCAUGUUGUUUGAUCUUGAAGGACAUUAGGUUUAAGCCCUAACCCAAACACACCUCUUUUAGUCUGAUGUAAGAAGUUUGCCAAGUUAUAUAGCCUAGUUAUUGUCUAAUGAUUUAAACGGUACACUCCAAAGUUAUUAUGCUUGCCUGAAUAUCUGUUUUUUGUAGUAUAGACCUAAAUGUAAACUUCCUAAGUUAAGCAUCCUUUAUCCGUGAACUUGUUUUUGCUUGGAUGAUACUUGCAUAGUGCUUCGUCAAUUAGUCUGCUAAAUUAUCUCUUGAAUGGUAUUUGGACAUGUUUUCCAAAUAGAAUCUGUUUUGCGUUUCAAGCUAACGAGGCUCUGUCAAUUAUUUUGCUAAAUUAUCUCUUUGCAUGGUAUUUGAACAUGUUUUUCAAAUAGAAUCUGUUUUGGGUUUCAAGCUGACGAGCUAGGUGAAAAUGCAGAAUCAUCAGAAUUAGUUGGUUGCUUCCACAUAAAUUUAAUCUUUUUUCCGCUUUUCAAAUGUCUGUGAUUUAUGAAUGUUUCCAACUUUUUUCUUAUUUCUCUUGCAGUAAUGGAAAUCUGAUCAAAGGCAACCUAAGUAUAGUUGAUUAAGUGGAACGGAGUUCGCCAUAUAAUGGUUGCAAAGAAUGGGUGUAGGUAAGAGUAAUAGAUGCACAGUCUUUUCUUUUGGCCAAUUUUCAGAUGCCUUGUUUAUCAAAUGUAGCUUUUUCCUCUAGACUGGGUAUUCGUAGCCAGAUUGUCAUUUGAGAAAUGGGAUGUCGUGUCCUUGGUUAAGGAAAAAGACAAAGUGCAGUAUCUUAAUAGCUAAUCCGUUCAUUAGACUCAUUGAGAGAAGUAUCUUCUUGAUUUUUAUUGUGAAUUACUAACAUAUAUGGUUCUUGGUCGAGCAAUUCUCCAAUUUGAGCUCUUUAGUUGCAUAUAUUUCAAGAGACUGAUCUGACCUUUAACCUUUUCAUGCAUCUAAGAUAAUUAGUAUGCUUUGGCAACUCAUUACAUACAGAUAAUAUGGCCUUGAAAUAAUCUGUCUAGGCAAUUAUAUAAUUAAUUUGAUUUCCUUCUCUGUUUUAUAGAACUCUGUAACUCGAAUGUCAUUUCUCAUUGCCAUACUCCCAUCCUUUUUCAUUCAUUCGAUGUAUAUGACAUUGUGCGGCAUAUGAUUAGUUUAAAUAUUAUAGAUAAAUACUGAAUGCUAAUAUUUGGAUUUCAGCUCUAAAGCCUCACGGGUCAUGGGUUACUCAGGCUUCUUAUUAGAUCUGUGUGCAUUGGUUCUUCCUGUUGAACCUCUCAUGGCUUUGCACGACUAGGUAAGACCUUGGAUUAUGAUUGUCACUUUUCUGAACAUCAUGGACAACAUGUAUGGUAUUAUGAUGCAACUCUGUUGCAUGUUGAAUGAUUGUCAGUUACUUGUGCAUAUAGUAAGUGGGCUGCAUGGUGUAACCUUCUAUAGUCCUGUUAAAAGGGAAUGGCGUGAAUUAUGGCGCCGUGGCGAUGUUUCUUGCUGUGGCAGUAGGAUAUGAUGCUCAUGCUAAGAUGGAGUAUACCUAUAGCUAUAGAUUUCCUUGUAUGAUAGUAGCCAGUCACAACGAGGACACUAUAAAGGUCUUCAAUAUGAAGUUAGACAACAUCCUUGCUCGUCAUUCCUGAUUCUUGGUUUAUUCUGAUUAUAUUGUUCAUUUUCAUUAUUCCUGUUAGUUAAUCUCUUCAUUUGACUAUAACCUAAGUCAAACUUGCAGUUCAAGGUAGUUCCCAUUUUUGAGGUGAUCUCGUCGUGAAAAUACUUCUGAACUAUAGUUUUGUGGCUCUUGGUAUUCUACAUGUAAAGCACAAAUCUGGAUGUGAUAUCAUUGGUGCCGAUUCUAGCACAAUAAGAUAUUCUCCUGUUUGUGUGUGAUAUCAAAAACAGUUAAUUAUUUUAUCACAAAUGUAUGUUCAAAUGGCCUUUUGAGUAUAGAGACUUGUUUGAAUAUUACUGGCGAUGUCUAAAAUUGUAUUUUUUUAUAAGAUGAUGUAGUUAAACAUCUAACAUUGCAUAAAGUAGCUUUAAAUGAUUCUAUGCACUCUGCCUUACAAUGCAUGUGCCAUUUACUACUUUUCCAAUCACAGAAUUUCCCCAAGAAGCCCGAGAGGAGAAGCUUGAUUCUUGUCCAGAUCAGUUUUUGCCUGGUGGUCAUGUGUUCACUGAGAAUUGAAGCUACAGUCACAUGUUAAUUUCAUACUUUAACUUAAUUAUUAGACCAUUAAGAUAAUUUAUGGCAUGAUCCUAUGUAU
rnacentral:lncRNA from 1 species